GGGGGCGUGGCGGAAUCGGCAUACGCGCCGGACUUAAAAUCCGGUUCCUGAAAAGGAUUGUGGGUUCGAACCCCACCGCCCCUACCG
rnacentral:tRNA from 1 species